GUAAAGUGGCAAACGGGUGAGUAACACAUGGGUAAUCUACCCUUGGGUGGGGAAUAACUUCCCGAAAGGGGAGCUAAUGCCGACGAUACGUAGCAGUCUCGAGAGGGGACUUCUAGAAAGCCGUACCGAGGGUGCGGCGCCCGAGGAUGAGCUCAUGUCCUAUCAGCUUGUUGGCGGGGUAAUGGCCCACCAAGGCUACGACGGGUAGCUGGUCUGAGAGGACGACCAGCCACACUGGCACUGCGACACGGGCCAGACUCCUACGGGAGGCAGCAGUGAGGAAUAUUGCGCAAUGGGCGAAAGCCUGACGCAGCGACGCCGCGUGGGGGAUGAAGGCCUUCGGGUUGUAAACCCCUUUCGGGAGGGAAGAUGGGGCGGGUAACCGCUCGGACGGUACCUCCAGAAGCAGCCACGGCUAACUCUGUGCCAGCAGCCGCGGUAAGACAGAGGUGGCAAGCGUUGUUCGGAUUUACUGGGCGUAAAGGGUGCGUAGGUGGUUAGGUAAGACCUGCGGGAAAGACCUGGGCUUAACCCAGGAAGGUCACAGGUGACUGCCUAGCUAGAGGGCGGGAGAGGAGAGCGGAAUUCCCGGUGUAGCGGU
rnacentral:rRNA from 1 species